CUUAGGGCAGCGGCGGACGGGUGAGUAACACGUGGGUAACCUGCCUGUAAGACUGGGAUAACUCCGGGAAAACCGGGCUAAUACCGGAUGCUGAUUGAACCGCAUGGUUCAAUCAUAAAAAGGUGGCUUUAGCUACCACUUACAGAUGGACCCGCGGCGCAUUAGCUAGUUGGUGAGGUAACGGCUCACCAAGGCGACGAUGCGUAGCCGACCUGAGAGGGUGAUCGGCCACACUGGGACUGAGACACGGCCCAGACUCCUACGGGAGGCAGCAGUAGGGAAUCUUCCGCAAUGGACGAAAGUCUGACGGAGCAACGCCGCGUGAGUGAAGAAGGUUUUCGGAUCGUAAAGCUCUGUUGUAAGAGAAGAACGUGUGUGAGAGUGGAAAGUUCACACAGUGACGGUAACUUACCAGAAAGGGACGGCUAACUACGUGCCAGCCGCCGCGGUA
rnacentral:rRNA from 1 species